CCUACGGGGUGCAGCAGUGGGGAAUAUUGGACAAUGGGCGAAAGCCUGAUCCAGCCAUGCCGCGUGUGUGAAGAAGGCCUUCGGGUUGUAAAGCACUUUCAGUGGGGAAGAAAGCCUUGGGGCUAAUACCCUCGAGGAAGGACAUCACCCACAGAAGAAGCACCGGCUAACUCCGUGCCAGCAGCCGCGGUAAUACGGAGGGUGCGAGCGUUAAUCGGAAUUACUGGGCGUAAAGCGCGCGUAGGCGGUCUGAUAAGCCGGUUGUGAAAGCCCCGGGCUCAACCUGGGAACGGCAUCCGGAACUGUCAGGCUAGAGUGCAGGAGAGGAAGGUAGAAUUCCCGGUGUAGCGGUGAAAUGCGUAGAGAUCGGGAGGAAUACCAGUGGCGAAGGCGGCCUUCUGGACUGACACUGACGCUGAGGUGCGAAAGCGUGGGUAGCAAACAGGAUUAGAUACCCCAGUAGU
rnacentral:rRNA from 1 species